rnacentral:lncRNA from 1 species
ACAUCUCUGGCUUUGUAUCUGAGGCAGGAGAGAAGCGAUGUCCACCUAGUGGGAUCUGUCGGGAAAAGAUUAUAUUGAAAAUGUCUGAUUCUGAGAGAUGUCAGCUUCACCACUCCCUCACUUCCUAAUGCACCAGACUAAGAGCUUUGACUGUAUUUCUUGAUUUCCUGCAAAAACUUAGAAGUUUAUAAGAAAAUGAGGGACUUCAUGUCUCCUGGACUCGGGUCAUGUUUGAAAGCAUUUUCACAGGACAGGGAUUAGAAUUCCUCAUCUCUCCCACAUUCCUGCUUGGUUUUAAACCUCUUGAAGCUCUUUUUUCCAGCCUGUGGGCUAUUUCUUGCCCCAGUAGGAGGAAUCUUAGCUGCCAUAAUUCCAUGGAGCCUGGAUUUAUAGAGAGAUUGCCAUGCCCUACAGACCUUUUCCCAACAAAUUUUGAAAGGACCUGGCUUUAAAACACACACAUCAUCACCGAAAGACUGCCCACAGAUCUUUAGGCUUUCUGCAUUGACAUAAAUACAUUUUUUAAGGGAAAAGAAGAAAUGAAAAACACCUGUUUAAUUUUAAACACAUUUUUUAAGAAAACAAAUAACUGAAAAAGAAACUGUGUUCAUGUCAUAAGCUAUGUUGACAGUUGCCAGUGGAAAUGUUGGGUUGGUUUAAAAAAAAAAAAUAAAAGCUAUACUUAUAUCUCUCUGAAGACAGCUUGCUUCUCCCCAUGUUGCUUCAGGAAAAGGUCCAGGGGGCCACCUUGGGUUCCUUCUGGGGCUGUAGUGGUUGAGGUAAAAGUGUCGUCUCCUAUUUGUAUCUCCUGUUUGUAUCUGUCAUCUCUUCAGAUGCCAGUGUGCCAAGCCUAGGAUUUUU